rnacentral:lncRNA from 1 species
GAUUAAGACCAAUGACUGUUGUAAUGAAGGACCCUGUUUCGAUUCUAUCACGGGAUACAAUAUGGAAUGUCAAUACAUUAGAACGGUUGAUUUGCAGAGAAAGGUGAACUUAAAACAUUACUUUUUAAACAUCACCAAAGGUAUGUGAAUAUCAACAGUAAUAAUAAACAAUGACAUGUAUACAAAACGAUGAAAUAACUGGAAUUUACAGGACUACAAUGGUAA